rnacentral:lncRNA from 1 species
CCCCAAGAUUUUGGACCUCACAGGAUACUCAGGAGCACUCCAUGAGUUAGGGGAACUGCCACAGGGAUUGGUCACGGAUGGUGUCCUUUCUGUUGCUAAGCUCUUUGCUUAAUAACUACAGUAUGUGUGAGGCAACUUCUGUACUAAUUUUUUUCACCUCACAGAAAGGAAGGUCUUUUUCUUCUUAAAUCCUCCUUAGCAUCAAAGUGCACAAUGGUACAUAAUAUUAUAACACAGUGCUGCUUUGAAUUCAAUAAGGGGAGAUCUCGGUAUUAUUCAUUUCUGAAUGGUAGUAAAAAGGCCGAUUCCUCUUUUAUGGGAAGAAAUGUUGAACUCAACAGAGCUGUUAGGUAGUGCGACUGACAGAAAUCUCCCAUGAUGAGAAAUAGCAUCUGGGAUGAAUUUUUCUUUCAGCACAGGGUUAAUAGAGGUAAUAUUUCUCUCUAUAUUGACAACUUGUGCUGGGUACUCCAGCAGAUCUGGGAUAAAUAGUACUUGAAUUGUGUCAAGGAAAGGCAAAGAAGAUGUAGAUGAUAAGGGAUGACCCACCGCCAUGCCUGAUUCUGUGCGAGGAAUUAAAAGCAAAUAUAUUUUUUAAAUUAAUACUAUCUCAGUGGUUUACUCUGCGAAGCGGCAUGCAUGGAUUGGUGGAGUUGUUAGUCUUACAGCUACGGGCAGGCUUCACCCUUCUCUCCCACUGAGUUGGGAGAGACAAAACUGGAAACACUGACUAUUGUAAGGUGAUGGCAAUAAAUUAUCUGGCUGGGGUGCUUCACAGGAGGAGAUCCAGGCAUGGUAUGGUGCCAUUACUGCUCCAGGUGAGCAAACAAAUGAUGGAAAAACAAGGGAAGACAGCAAGCACGAGCCCUUAUCAGGACCCCAGACAAUUCUGUGACCAAGGGAGUAAAACAGCCUAAUAAAAGCCUCACCUGGAGGCAUCUGAAGGUAACCGUAUGAGCAUUUGGAAUGAUGUGGACAUGGUUGUUUGCUUAGACCUUUGCUCAGCUGAGAGGGUGUUUCAGCACUUCAGUGUUUGAUUUUCUGCAUCUCGCUGGAUGGAAGUUUAAGAAAUGCAGUCAUUCAACAAAAUGCCAUCAAGAAAGGAAGUUACAAAUAUAGGAUCUCAAACUUGUAUUGUCAAAGAUUUUGUUUCUUUUAAAUGUAGUCCAAAGUAGGGAGGUGGGAAUGAAACCUAUACUGGGAGUGCUGACGGAAAGACAUAAUGCAAUGCAAAUUUUUCAGUAUGGUACAAUAUAAAGCAAAUAUGUUUGAUAACCUAAAGAGUGGUUUGUUUUAUUGACUCAUAAUAUUUGAUAACCGAACAUUUAUCGUAACUGAACAGGCAAAAG